rnacentral:rRNA from 1 species
GGGUCAGUAGGUUGGUCGUGCCACCGGUACGUACUGGUCUAACUUAUUCCUCCUUCCUGAAGAACCGUAAUGCCAUUAAUUUGGUGUUGCGGGGAAACAGGACUGUUACUUUGAAAAAAUUAGAGUGUUUAAAGCAAGCUAACGCUUGAAUACAUUAGCAUGGAAUAAUGGAAUAGGACGAUCGAUCCUAUUUUGUUGGUUUCUAGGAUUGACGUA